AGCGAACGCUGGCGGCAGGCUUAACACAUGCAAGUCGAGCGGGCAGCCUUGUGGUGUCAGCGGCGGACGGGUGAGGAACGCGUGGGGACGUGCCCUUCGGUUCGGAAUAACUCAGGGAAACUUGAGCUAAUACCGGAUACGUUCGAGAGCAGAAAGGUUUAUUGGCCGAAGGAUCGGGCCGGGUCUGAUUAGCUAGUUGGUGAGGUUAUGGCUCACCAAGGCGACGAUCAGUAGCUGGUCUGAGAGGAUGAUCAGCCACACUGGGAAUGCGACACGGCCCAGACUCCUACGGGAGGCAGCAGUGGGGAAUAUUGGACAAGGGGGGCAAACCUGACCCAGCCAUGCCGCGUGAGUGAUGACGGCCUUAGGGUUGUAAAGCUCUUUUCUCCGGGACGAUAAUGACGGUACCGGAGGAAUAAGCCCCGGCUAACUACGUG
rnacentral:rRNA from 1 species